AUGGAUGACGAGUACUAUCUAUUUGGCGGCCAAGGAUCCGAUGUUGAGAGCAUGGAUGGAGGCAAAGCCGCGAGCAUGUCCAGCGCUGAGCGUAUCGACAUUGAUCCAUUCGACUAUGUCUAUUCAAACCUCCCCGACUUCACACACAUACUGAAGCAUGCUGCUAACUGCGACCACUGCAAGGCCAAGAAGUUUGAGUCUGAGACCCAGGGCUUCCGCUGUCGCAACGGGAAAAUCGAGCUCAAGGAACCAGAUCCCAUACCAGAGCUAAUGAGGCUUUGGUCCAGCACGGAUGCGGACUCUAGACACUUUCAGGAGAACAUACGGUUCUUCAACGACCACUUCUCCUUCACAACCCUGGGCGUCAGCCUUGAUGAAAACUACACAAACAUGAAGUCUGGGGUGUACAUGUUCCGGGCGCACGACACCAUCUACCACAACAUGCAUUCCUUUGGGCCAAGCUCUCGUCCAGAACAUCUCCAGUUGUACUUCUACGACGACGACCCGAACCUGACCCAUCGCAAGGCUGCCACCAAGGAUAUGGACCAGAAUGUUGUCAUGAAGUUAGUGGACAUACUCCGGGGAAACCCGUACUCCUAG
rnacentral:rRNA from 1 species